AUGUCGCCCGUUACUUUGAACUUAUUCGUCACAGCUGCAGCUGUUUUAAUUGGGCAUUGCGGAGGAGAUUCUGUUUCACAGACACCGGGUGCAGUCACUGUCAGUGAAGGAGAUGAUGUUCAGCUGCUCUGCAAUUACACAGCUACAAGCAGCAGCAAUCCUUAUCUGUUCUGGUAUCGUCAGUAUACCAGCGGAUCCAUUAAGUAUCUGCUGAAGAGAAACAGACACAUCGAUAACACAGAGAGAUUCCCAGGAGACCGUUUUUCAGCGGAGCUCAAUGAUUCGGAUCGCACCGUUCCGCUGAAAGUGUCUAAAACAGAAUUGUCGGACUCUGCGGUGUAUUACUGCGCGCUGAGCCCCACAGAGACACAGAGCAGGGCUGAACCUGUACAAAAACUGUCAGAGCGACACUCAACAUUACAGAGCGAGACGCAAAUAUUGCGAUCGAGUUGA